ensembl:misc_RNA Metazoa_SRP Metazoan signal recognition particle RNA
GCCGGGCAUGGUGGUGCGAGUCUGUAGUCCCAGCUACUCGGGAGGCUGAGGCUGGAGGAUCUCUUGAGUCCAGGAGUUCUGAGCUGUAGUGAGCUAUGCCGAUUUGGUGUUUGACAUCAAUAUGGUGACCUCCUGGGAGUGGGGGACCACCAGGUUGCCUAAGGAGAGGUGAACUAGCCCAGGUCGAAAACGGAGCAGGUCAAAACUCCUGUGCUGAUCAGUAGUGGGAUCCCACCUGUGAAUACCCACUGCACUCCAGCCUGGGCAACAUAGUGAGACCCCAUCUCUU